rnacentral:rRNA from 1 species
CUUGAGUAGUAUUAGUUAUGUUCUUGAAACUUAAAAAAUUUGGCGGUAUUUUAGUCUAUUCAGAGGAACCUGUUCUAUAAUCGAUAAUCCACGAUGGACCUCACUUUAACUUGUUUUUCAGUUUAUAUACCGUCGUUAUCAGAGAAUCUUAUAAGAGUAAUAGUUCUCUAAAAUUUUUAUUAGAAUUUAUAUCAGAUCAAGGUGUAGCUUAUGUUAAAGUAGAAAUGGGUUACAAUAAAUUUAUUUAUAUGGAAGAAAAUAUGAAAAGUUUUCUGAAAGUGGAUUUGAUAGUAAAGUUAUAUAGAUUAUUAGCUUGAUUUUAGCUCUAAAAUAUGUACACAUCGCCCGUCGCUCUUAA